UACAGAGGUCCCAAGCGUUGUUCGGAUUCACUGGGCGUAAAGGGUGCGUAGGUGGCGAGGUAAGUCGGAUGUGAAAUCUCCGAGCUCAACUCGGAAAUGGCAUUGGAAACUACCUUGCUUGAGGGUCGGAGGGGGGACUGGAAUACUUGGUGUAGCAGUGAAAUGCGUAGAUAUCAAGUGGAACACCCGUGGCGAAAGCGGCGCGCUGGACCACUACUGACGCUGAAGAACGAAAGCUAGGGGAGCAAACAGG
rnacentral:rRNA from 1 species